UGCAAGUCGAGCGCUGAUUUGAGGGUAGCAAUAUUUUCAAGUCGGAGCGGCGCAAGGGUGCGUAACACGUGGGAAUCUGCCUUGAAGUGUGGGAUAACUCGUCGAAAGACGAGCUAAUACCGCAUGUGAUCGUAAGAUCAAAGUUGGGGAUCGCAAGACCUGACGCUUCAAGAUGAGCCCGCGGCCUAUCAGCUAGUUGGCGAGGUAAAAGCUCACCAAGGCUAAGACGGGUAGCUGGUCUGAGAGGACGACCAGCCACACUGGAACUGAGACACGGUCCAGACACCUACGGGUGGCAGCAGUCGAGAAUUUUUCUCAAUGGGCGAAAGCCUGAAGGAGCGACGCCGCGUGGGGGAUGAAUGGCUUCGGCCCGUAAACCCCUGUCAUUUGCGAACAAAUUGACUCACUUAACACGUGUGUCAUUGAUUGUAGCGGAAGAGGAAGGGACGGCUAACUCUGUGCCAGCAGCCGCGGUAAUACAGAGGUCCCAAGCGUUGUUCGGAUUCACUGGGCGUAAAGGGUGCGUAGGCGGUUGGGUAAGUCUGACGUGAAAUCUCCGGGCCUAACCCGGAAACUGCGUUGGAUACUAUCCGGCUAGAGGAAUGGAGGGGAGACUGGAAUACUUGGUGUAGCAGUGAAAUGCGUAGAUAUCAAGUGGAGCACCAGUGGCG
rnacentral:rRNA from 1 species